rnacentral:tRNA from 1 species
ACUUAGGUAGUUUAAUAAAAAAUUUUGAUUUGUGGUGUCAAAGAUAUAAUGUUUAUUCUAGGUU